rnacentral:rRNA from 1 species
GACGAACGCUGGCGGCGUGCCUAACACAUGCAAGUCGAGCGGAGUCGAUCGACGGAAGCCUUCGGGCGGAAGAUGGUUGACUUAGCGGCGGAUGGGUGAGUAACGCGUGGGCAACCUGCCUCGAAGACCGGGAUAACAGCCCGAAAGGGCUGCUAAUACCGGAUGUGGUCAAGGAUCCGCAUGGAUUUUUGAUUAAAGGGGAAACCCGUUUCGAGAUGGGCCCGCGUCCUAUCAGCUAGUUGGUGAGGUAAAAGCUCACCAAGGCGACGACGGGUAGCCGGCCUGAGAGGGUGACCGGCCACACUGGAACUGAGACACGGUCCAGACUCCUACGGGGGCAGCAGUGGGGAAUCUUCCACAAUGGGCGAAAGCCUGAUGGAGCGACGCCGCGUGAGCGAAGAAGGCCUUCGGUUGUAAAGCUCUGUCUGGAGGGACGAAGGAAGUGACGGUACCUCCGGAGGAAGCCACGGCUAACUAACGUGCCAGCAGCCGCGGUAAUGAGUAGUACAA